rnacentral:lncRNA from 1 species
GCCCUAUUUAAGGAGGAGAUCCCUCCUCUCUUCCUUCCACCGAAGAUUCUAAGCCCGAUCGACGGCAAUCGUCAAAAAAUCCACCACAGAAGACCGUCCCUGUGCCGUCCAAUUUCUCGUCAGAAAAGCUUCACCGGUGAUGGAGGUAAGCCUCCUCCCCUUCCUCUCUUCUCUCCUUUUCUUUCCGUGCCGAUGUGCACGCUCGUCGGUGACCAGAGUCAUCGGAUUUUGUUGCGGAAGAACCUUUCUUUUUGCCAUUUUUCCGACGUCGGUGGUCACUGCCGACCAUCGGUUUCGUCCCCCUUUUGCCGUCGGAUCGCCCCCCUUCGGCCGUCGACCAUCUCCAUGCCGACUGCAUAGUCGAUCGGCCAACCAAUGAGGGGAUUAAAGAUCC